ACACCAAUCCUGCAUCAACCACAGCUGUCGAACAAACUUUCCAGGAUGUGGCACUGCUUAGAUAUCCUGAUGAUGUUUAUCUUGAAGACCACUUAAGGCCAAGAAAUACUGAUGAUGGUGAUCCCCCUUACCUUGCAUCAAGGAAUUCGGAGUUGGAUAAUCCUAUCUUCCAGAAUGCGUCUG